rnacentral:tmRNA from 1 species
GGGGGCGUUUUUUGGAUUCGACGGGGAUAGUACGAGCAAGGGUUGCGGGUAGUGGGGACGCGUCCGCUUCAUCAACGCUAAAGCCUAUUAAAUGGCAACCAACGUACAACUUUAGCAGCAGCUUAAUAACCUGUAUGCUAAGCUCCUACCUAGCAUCGCCCAUGUGUUAGAAUAGGGGCUCACUCUUAGUGGGAUACGCCGUUUGGUCUCCGCCUGGGGUCAAACGGAAGAAGACAAUCAGGCUGACCUUGGACGAAGCCGGUUACGGGGCGUCGGCCUUGGGACAUCAAAACUGUGACUACACCCGUAGAAGCCUUUGUGGCGUGAUCUUCGGACAGGGGUUCGACUCCCCUCGCCUCCAUUU